GACGAACGCUGGCGGCAUGCCUAAUACAUGCAAGUCGAGCGAACAGAUGAAGUGCUUGCACUUCUGACGCUAGCGGCGAACGGGUGAGUAACACGUAAGGAAUCUACCUAUAAGCGGGGGAUAACAUUCGGAAACGGGUGCUAAUACCGCAUAAUAUCUUCUUCCGCAUGGAAGAAGAUUGAAAGACGGCUCUGCUGUCACUUAUAGAUGACCUUGCGGUGCAUUAGUUAGUUGGUGGGGUAACGGCCUACCAAGACGAUGAUGCAUAGCCGACCUGAGAGGGUGAGCGGCCACAUAGAGACUGGAACACGGCCCAAGCUCCUACGGGAGGACGCAGUAGGAAAUCUUCCGCAAGGGGCGAAAGCCUGACGGAGCAAUGCCGCGUGAGUGAAGAAGGCCUUCGGGUCGUAAAACUCUGUUAUAAGAGAAGAACAAAUUGUAGAGUAACUGCUACAGUCUUGACGGUAUCUUAUCAGAAAGCCACGGCUAACUACGUGCCAGCCGCCGCUGUAA
rnacentral:rRNA from 1 species